UACAGAGGGGGCAAGCGUUGUUCGGAAUUACUGGGCGUAAAGGGCGCGUAGGCGGCCUUCUAAGUCGAACGUGAAAUCCCCGGGCUCAACCCGGGAACUGCGUCCGAUACUGGAAGGCUUGAAUCCGGGAGAGGGAUGUGGAAUUCCAGGUGUAGCGGUGAAAUGCGUAGAUAUCUGGAGGAACACCGGUGGCGAAGGCGACAUCCUGGACCGGUAUUGACGCUGAGGAGCGAAAGCGUGGGGAGCGAACAGG
rnacentral:rRNA from 1 species